rnacentral:rRNA from 1 species
UACGAAGGGGGCUAGCGUUGUUCGGAUUUACUGGGCGUAAAGCGCGCGUAGGCGGAUCGAUCAGUCAGGGGUGAAAUCCCAGAGCUCAACUCUGGAACUGCCUUUGAUACUGUCGAUCUGGAGUAUGGAAGAGGUGAGUGGAAUUCCGAGUGUAGAGGUGAAAUUCGUAGAUAUUCGGAGGAACACCAGUGGCGAAGGCGGCUCACUGGUCCAUUACUGACGCUGAGGUGCGAAAGCGUGGGGAGCAAACAGG